ACGGAAGGCAGCAGUGGGGGAUAUUGCACAAUGGAGGAAACUCUGAUGCAGCAACGCCGCGUGAGGGAAGACGGUCUUCGGAUUGUAAACCUAAGUUAACAGGGACGAAUAAAAUGACGGUACCUGAAGAGAAAGCUCCGGCUAACUACGUGCCAGCAGCCGCGGUAAUACGUAGGGAGCGAGCGUUGUCCGGAUUUACUGGGUGUAAAGGGUGCGUAGGCGGGUUUGCAAGUCAGGCGUGAAAUCCCACGGCUUAACUGUAGGGCUGCGCUUGAAACUGUAGAUCUUGAGUGAAGUAGAGGCAAGCAGAAUUCCUAGUGUAGCGGUGAAAUGCGUAGAUAUUAGGAGGAACACCAAUGGCGAAGGCGGCUUGCUGGGCUUUAACUGACGCUGAGGCACGAAAGUAUGGGGAGCAAACAGGAUUAGAUACCCUGGUA
rnacentral:rRNA from 1 species